rnacentral:rRNA from 1 species
GGGAUCAAGCGUAAAGGGCGCGGGGUGGAUGCCUGGGCACAGGACGGCGAAGAAGGACGUGGCAAGCUGCGAAAAGCCACGGGGAGCUGCAAGCGAGCGUUGAUCCGUGGGUGUCCGAAUGGGGGAACCCGGCCGGGGUGAUGCCCGGUCAUCGUGUGGCUGAAUACAUAGGCUAUGCGAGGCGAACCCGGGGAACUGAAACAUCUAAGUACCCGGAGGAAGAGAAAACAAUUGUGAUUCCCUGAGUAGCGGCGAGCGAACGGGGAAGAGCCCAAACUGCGUAGGCGUAACAGGCUGCAGCCGUUGUCUACGCGGGGUAGUAGGGCUGGACUGGAGGGGCCUGCAGGUCCUUCGGAGGGUCGGUUUGAGUGAGCUGAAGCGCGUUGGAACGCGUCGCCGUAGAGGGUGAGAGCCCCGUAGGCGAAAUUCGGCCGAUCGUCUGGGUCUGGUACCUGAGUAGGCCGGGACACGAGAAAUCCCGGUUGAAUCUGGCAGGACCAUCUGCCAAGGCUAAAUACGUUCCUGUGACCGAUAGUGGACGAGUACCGUGAGGGAAAGGUGAAAAGCACGCCGGGAGGCGGGUGAAAUAGAACCUGAAACCUCGUGCCUACAAGCGGUGGGAGGGUCCUGAUCUCUUUCGGGAGAGAAGGCCUGACCGCGUGCCUUUUGCAUUAUGAUCCGGCGAGUUGGACCUAGCGGGCGAGGUUAAGCCGUUCAGCGGCGGAGCCGAAGCGAAAGCGAGUCUUAACUGGGCGUUAUAGUCCGUUGGGCCAGACCCGAAACCAGAGUGAUCUAUCCAUGGCCAGGUUGAAGCGGGGGUAAUGCCUCGUGGAGGACCGAACCGUUGUAGGUUGAAAACUGCUCGGAUGAGCUGUGGAUAGGGGUGAAAGGCCAAUCAAACCUGGAGAUAGCUGGUUCUCCCCGAAAGAUAUUUCGGUAUCGCCUCUGAGUGUAGACUGCGGGAGGUAGAGCACUGGAUGGGCUAGGGCCCUUCACGGGGUACCAAACCCAACCAAACUCCGAAUGCCCGACAGUUGGUCUCAGGGAGGCAGGGCGCGGGCGAUAAUGUUCGUGCGCGAGAGGGGAACAACCCAGACCCUCGGCUAAGGUCCCUAAGUACAAGCUAAGUGAGAAAGGAUGUGAAUCUGCGUAGACAACUGGGAGGUUGGCUUAGAAGCAGCCAUUCCUUGAAAGAGUGCGUAAUAGCUCACCAGUCAAGCGGGUUUGCGCCGAUAAUGACCGGGACUCAAGCUUGUCACCGAAGCCAGGGCUGCGGCCACUUUUCGAAGUGACUGCGGGGUAGGGGAGCGUUGCCUGAGCAUGGAAGCGGGGCCGUGAGGCUACCCGUGGAGCGCAGGCAAGUGAGAAUGCCGGAAUGAGUACGCGAUAAACGGGGUGAGAACCCCCGUCGCCGAAAGCCCAAGGUUUCCUGAGCCAUGUCGAUCAGCUCAGGGUUAGUCGGCCCCUAAGGUGAGGCCGAAAGGCGUAGCCGAUGGGAAACGGGUCAAGAUUCCCGUACCGCCCAGUAGCCGUUUGAGCCUGCGGAGGGACGCAGUAGUGACAGGUCCGUCAGAUGGUGGAAUCUGAUGUAAGGAGGUAGGCGUUUCCGGGGAGGCAAAUCCCCCUGGUCAAGCCGAGAUCCGAUGCCGAAGGGGCCCUCGGGCCCCGUCAAGGGACCGUAAUCAGACUGCCGAGAAAAGCUUCGCAGGCGAGGUGAUUGGGCGACCGUACCGCAAACCGACACAGGUGGGCGAGGCGAGAAGCCUCAGGCGCUCGAGUGAUUCUUGGUCAAGGAACUCGGCAAAAUGUCCCCGUAACUUCGGGAGAAGGGGAGCCCGUGGUAGGUGAAGCGCUUCGCGCGUGGAGCUGAAGCGGGCCGCAGAGAAUCGGCCCAAGCGACUGUUUAGUAAAAACACAGGUGUCUGCAAAGUCGUCAAGACGACGUAUAGGCACUGACGCCUGCCCGGUGCCGGAAGGUUAAAGGGAGAGGUCAGCUUUUUUCUUCGGAAUCUGGCGAAGCUUCGAACUGAAGCCCCGGUAAACGGCGGCCGUAACUAUAACGGUCCUAAGGUAGCGAAAUUCCUUGUCGGGUAAGUUCCGACCUGCACGAAUGGCGUAACGACUUGGGCACUGUCUCGACCAAGAGCUCGGCGAAAUUGGAGUCUCGGUGAGGAUACCGAGUACCCGCGGCAGGACAAAAAGACCCCGUGCACCUUUACUACAACCUGACAUUGGGUUUUGGCAUCGCCUGUGUAGGAUAGGUGGGAGGCUAUGAACCGGGGGCGUCAGCUUCCGGGGAGCCACUGGUGAAAUACCACCCUUGUGAUGUCGGGAUUCUAACCUGGGACCCUACAGCGGGUUCGGGGACCGUGUCAGGCGGGUAGUUUGACUGGGGCGGUCGCCUCCCAAAAGGUAACGGAGGCGCGCAAAGGUUCCCUCAGCGCGGUCGGCAAUCGCGCGGAGAGUGUAAAGGCACAAGGGAGCUUGACUGCGAGACCGACAGGUCGAGCAGGUGCGAAAGCAGGCCUUAGUGAUCCGGCGGUCCCGUAUGGAAGGGCCGUCGCUCAACGGAUAAAAGGUACGCCGGGGAUAACAGGCUUAUCGCCCCCGAGAGUUCACAUCGACGGGGCGGUUUGGCACCUCGAUGUCGGCUUAUCGCAUCCUGGGGCUGGAGAAGGUCCCAAGGGUCGGGCUGUUCGCCCGUUAAAGCGGUAC